CCUGGCUCAGGAUGAACGCUAGCGGAGGCUAACACAUGCAAGUCGAGGGCGAGCGCGGGUGGCAACACCGUGGCGGGCGACCGGCGGACGGGUGAGUAACACGUAUGCAACCUGCCCUGCACAGGGGGAUAGCCCGGAGAAAUCCGGAUUAAUACCCCAUGGUUCACUGGGUCCGCAUGGAUCUGGUGGUAAAGAUUCAUCGGUGCAGGAUGGGCAUGCGUUCCAUUAGCUAGUUGGCGGGGCAACGGCCCACCAAGGCGACGAUGGAUAUGGGGUCUAAAAGGAUGGUCCCACACAUUGGCACUGAGAUACGGGCCAAACUCCUACGGGAGGCAGCAGUGAGGAAUAUUGGUCAAUGGGCGAGAGCCUGAACCAGCCAUCCCGCGUGCAGGAUGAAGGUCCUUACAGAUUGUAAACUGCUUUUGCAGGGGACGAAUAAGGGUCACGCGUGGCCCGAUGACAGUACUCUGUGAAUAAGCAUCGGCUAACUCCGUGCCAGCAGCUGC
rnacentral:rRNA from 1 species